rnacentral:rRNA from 1 species
UACGGAGGGGGCUAGCGUUGUUCGGAAUUACUGGGCGUAAAGCGUACGUAGGCGGCCAUUCAAGUCAGAGGUGAAAGCCCGGGGCUCAACUCCGGAAUUGCCUUUGAAACUAGGUGGCUUGAACACGGGAGAGGUGAGUGGAAUUCCGAGUGUAGAGGUGAAAUUCGUAGAUAUUCGGAAGAACACCAGUGGCGAAGGCGGCUCACUGGACCGUUGUUGACGCUGAGGUACGAAAGCGUGGGGAGCAAACAGG